ensembl:misc_RNA Metazoa_SRP Metazoan signal recognition particle RNA
GCUUGGCAUGGUGGCAUGUUCCUGUAGUCCCAGCUACUCAGUAGGCUGAGGAAGGAGGAUCACUUGAGUUCAGGAGUUCUGGGUUGUAGUGCACUAUGCCAAUUGGGCAUCCACACUAAGUUCAGCUUCAAUAUGGUGACUUCGUGGGAGAAGAGGACCAUCAGGUUGCCUAAGGAGGGGUGAACUGACCCAGGUCAGAAACAGAGCAGGUCAAAACUCCCAUUCUGAUUAGUAGUGGGAUCAUGCCUGUGAAUAGCCACUGCACUCCAACUUGGGAAACAUAGUGAGACCUGGUUUUCUU